rnacentral:rRNA from 1 species
CUACGGGGGGCAGCAGUGAGGAAUAUUGCACAAUGGAGGAAACUCUGAUGCAGCAACGCCGCGUGGAGGAUGACGCAUUUCGGUGUGUAAACUCCUUUUAUAUGUCAAGAAAAUGACGGUAGCAUAUGAAUAAGCACCGGCUAACUCCGUGCCAUCAGCCGCGGUAAUACGGAGGGUGCAAGCGUUACUCGGAAUCACUGGGCGUAAAGGACGCGUAGGCGGGAUAUCAAGUCAGGUGUGAAAUCCUACAGCUUAACUGUAGAAUUGCACUUGAAACUGGUAACCUAGAGUAUGGGAGGGGGAGAUGGAAUUAGUGGUGUAGGGGUAAAAUCCGUAGAUAUCACUAGGAAUACCUAAAGCGAAGGCGAUCUCCUGGAACAUAACUGACGCUAAGGCGUGAAAGCGUGGGGAGCAAACAGGAUUAGAUACCCCGGUAGUC